GGAGGGCUGACCGAGUGGCCGAAGGUGCUCGCCUGCUAAGCGAGUAGGGGGCGUCGAGCCCCCUCGAGGGUUCAAAUCCCUCGCCCUCCGCCA
rnacentral:tRNA from 1 species